CCAAAUAUAAAUUUUAUCUUAUUUUAUUUACAUCAAAAGAAAUUAAGUCCCCCACUUCUCCUGCUUUCUAUUUCCAACACCUCCCCCUACCUUGGAUGCACACCUGCUUCCCUCUGCAACUCUCUCCUUCCCCAUCUCCAUGUCCAUGGCAAUUCCAAGGUACCAUCUUUCUUCCUCUUCAUCAUCUCUAAUCUCACCCUCUCUUCCAUGCUCUCACUCAACCAUUCCCACACUAACCCUCUUUUUCUCCACUCUCCCACUCUCAACACCAGCUCGUUUACUCAAUAUCAUGCUGUAAAGUUACAAUUUUUUUCUUGUAAACUUGUUUUUAUUCGCUAA